GGAAAAUUAGUUAAACAAAUAACAUAUGCUUGUCGAGCUUAAGUUGCUUUACUUUUUAGAAGCAUUUUCUU
rnacentral:tRNA from 1 species